UACGAAGGGUGCAAGCGUUACUCGGAAUUACUGGGCGUAAAGGGCGCGUAGGCGGUCCCGUAAGUUCCGCGUGAAAUCCCCCGGCUCAACCGGGGAAUGGCGCGGAAAACUGCGGGGCUUGAGUUCGGGAGAGGGAAGCGGAAUUCCGGGUGUAGCGGUGAGAUGCGUAGAUAUCCGGAGGAACACCGGUGGCGAAGGCGGCUUCCUGGACCGACACUGACGCUGAGGCGCGAAAGCUAGGGGAGCAAACGGG
rnacentral:rRNA from 1 species